rnacentral:tRNA from 1 species
GGGCGUGUGGCGUAGUCGGUAGCGCGCUCCCUUMGCAUGGGAGAGGUCUCCGGUUCGAUUCCGGACUCGUCCU